rnacentral:rRNA from 1 species
GAUGAACGCUGGCGGCGUGCCUAAUACAUGCGAGUCGAGCGAACAGACGAGGAGCUUGCUCCUCUGACGUUAGCGGCGGACGGGUGAGUAACACGUGGAUAACCUACCUAUAAGACUGGGAUAACUUCGGGAAACCGGAGCUAAUACCGGAUAAUAUAUUGAACCGCAUGGUUCAAUAGUGAAAGACGGUUUUGCUGUCACUUAUAGAUGGAUCCGCGCCGCAUUAGCUAGUUGGUAAGGUAACGGCUUACCAAGGCAACGAUGCGCAGCCGACCUGAGAGGGUGAUCGGCCACACUGGAACUGAGACACGGUCCAGACUCCUACGGGAGGCAGCAGUAGGGAAUCUUCCGCAAUGGGCGAAAGCCUGACGGAGCAACGCCGCGUGAGUGAUGAAGGUCUUCGGAUCGUAAAACUCUGUUAUUAGGGAAGAACAAAUGUGUAAGUAACUAUGCACGUCUUGACGGUACCUAAUCAGAAAGCCACGGCUAACUACGUG